GUACAAUAUAAGUGAUCAUAUAUAAAUUUCUUUUUGCUUAUUUUGUAUAGCGAAAUAUAUUGAUUGACAGCAAUUAUUAUUCAGUAUCUUUUUUAUUUAUGUUUUUGCAGGAUGUUGGCAAAAUUUUUGAACAGUUACCUGCUUUGCAGGUUCUCAGCUUAUCUAACAACUUAAUGUCACCAUAUAAAUCGGAAACUGGAAAGCAUCUGUAUUCUAGUUUUAAAUAACACUGGUGUAGAUUGGGAGCAGGUUGAAUUGCUUAGACAAUCAUUGACAACUAUUAAGAGCUACAUCUUAUCGGAAACAAUAUAAGCAGAGUACUGGUCUCCUCCACUGGCAGCGCCUCUGAUGGAAGCUCUGUUGCAAAGGGUGAAAGAACCCACAAAUUCUCACUGGGAGUUCCUCUCUACUAAAUUGCUCAAUUCUGAUGUAAACUUCUUGCCGUAUUUUUGUCAUUUUUGAUUUUAUACCUGUUUAAGACUGUCUUCUGGUUCAAACGCAGGUUGCUCCUCUGUCCGUUGCUCCCCUCCGGUUCCUUCCCGGGCUUCAAUGACCACCUGAUUGGGUACCGUUAACAUCUGGUCUCCCUUUUGCUCGAUUGCACCUUCGUGAUGUGUAGGCCUUCUUCCAAUUCUUCUAACUUUUUCUGCUUCUCUUCUCAAUUGGGUUUCAAUUGUCGCUGGUAAUUUCACUGACCAAUUGCUUGAAAGUAUACCUGUAGCUCUUUGUGUUGCUAUGAGAUGCGCUAAAUGAUUUCCCUCCCUUGGAGUCCAGGUUAUCCCGACAUCCGCUUCAAGACUGGAGAAAGCCCUGAUUUCUGUUGCUGAUCCUGUGAUAAAUUUUCCUUGCCAAUCUCUAAGGACCGUUGCAAUUGCUCCCUUCCUGUUAGAUUUUCUGAAGCUUGCAUCCACAUUGAUUUUCAACCAAUCCCUUGGUGGAGCCCUCCAGUUUCAUUUUGAGAUUCUUCAUCAAUCUCAACUCAAGGGAGAUGCGAGUUGGUGGAAUACAUGUUCACUGCAAGGAAUUGAGACCUCCCAUGGGAUGAGAUGAUAUCCACCUCCCAUGAGAUGAUCAUAUCCAAACUCUUCCUCAACUUCACUCAACUCUUAGAAUGAAGCUUGGUUCAAAUAUGAAAUAGGAAUCACAUAACACUUUUGAUUAUCUCCGACAUACACUGCAAGAUAACCCUUUGGGACUUGUACAGAUUUUGAAAUUGCUUGCUUAGCUGAGAAUGAUGCCUUUCCCCAUUUUUC